UACGAAGGGGGCUAGCGUUGCUCGGAAUCACUGGGCGUAAAGCGUGUGUAGGCGGCCUCGCAAGUCGGAUGUGAAAGCCCCGGGCUCAACCCGGGAAGUGCACUCGAUACUGCUUGGCUAGAGUCUCGGAGAGGUUGGUGGAAUUCUCGGUGUAGAGGUGAAAUGCGUAGAUAUCAGGAGGAAUACCGAUGGCGAAGGCAGGUCUCUGGGCUGACACUGACGCUCAUGCACGAAAGCGUGGGGAGCAAACAGG
rnacentral:rRNA from 1 species